CCUACGGGAGGCUGCAGUGGGGAAUAUUGCGCAAUGGGCGCAAGCCUGACGCAGCGACGCCGCGUGAGGGAUGAAGGUCUUCGGAUCGUAAACCUCUGUCAGCAGGGAAGAACGGUCACUGUGCUAAUCAGCAGUGCAUUGACGGUACCUGCAAAGGAAGCACCGGCUAACUCCGUGCCAGCAGCCGCGGUAAUACGGGGGGUGCGAGCGUUAAUCGGAAUUACUGGGCGUAAAGCGCUCGUAGGCGGUAUGUCAAGUCAAGGGUGAAAUCCCCGCGCUCAACGUGGGAACUGCCUGUGAAACUGGCAAGCUGGAGUGUGUGAGAGGAGAGUAGAAUUCCAGGUGUAGCAGUGAAAUCCGUAGAUAUCUGGGGGAACAUCAGUGGCGAAGGCGACGAUCUGGCACAUAACUGACGCUGAGGAGCGAAAGCGUGGGUAGCAAACAGGAUUAGAUACCCGUGUAGUC
rnacentral:rRNA from 1 species